rnacentral:misc_RNA from 1 species
UCUCAAGCCUAGCUUGGUACUGGGUUUUUCGUCUCCCUGUCAGUGUACAGGUAGUGACGUGCCUGAAAGUCAAUGGGCAGUGCCUUCAAAAGACUCUAGCGUAGCAGACUGACUCGCUUUAGAGAACAUUUGAUAAGGGCCAUGCCAACAAAAUAAUCAAAUUGGACCUCGGAUCAGGUAGGGAUACCCGCUGAACUUAA